AUUCGUCCAAGGGAAACAGAGGACAGUGGCGGACGGGUGAGUAACGCGUGAGGAACCUGCCUUUCAGAGGGGGACAACAGUUGGAAACGACUGCUAAUACCGCAUGACACAUAGAUGUCGCAUGGCAUUUAUGUCAAAGAUUUAUCGCUGAAAGAUGGCCUCGCGUCUGAUUAGCUAGUUGGUGAGGUAACGGCCCACCAAGGCGACGAUCAGUAGCCGGACUGAGAGGUUAACCCCCACAUUGGUACUGAGACACGGACCAAACUCC
rnacentral:rRNA from 1 species